UGCCUGAGGAAAUUCGUUUUAUUGGGCUCACUCGGCUCACUCCAUUCGGAAGCGCAGUGUUAGCCUGAUCCCUCAGGUUUAUUCACGGAAGCAACUAAACAUUUAUAUUUUAGGUAUAUUGAAGUUCUCCAAGACGUACAUCUUCCAUCGGCUUUUUAGGCGAGAACAUUCGGAACCUGAGGCAUCCAAGGAGCAGCCUGAGUAGGGAAAUUCUUCAGCCACCUUCAGAAUGACAACAAAGCCAGAAAAUACAGAUUUCAGGCAUAAGAAUUCUUCACUCAGCGUAAGGCCACUAAUCUGGGAAAUAAUGUGUCCCCCUCAGCUCAACUCCAAAAUGAAUUAUGAUGGAGAGAAAUGAGGAGUGGAUGAUAAAAAUGGCUCCUCAAAUACAUCCUGAUGAUGAC